GCAGUGCUGUUUAUUAUAAACAAUCAGAAAACUGAGGCAAUACUAAAAAUAAAUAAUGGCGGUUUUCACCAGUAGGUAAAUUACCUUGGGGUUUGUGGUCUGGAACAGCUGUUCUUCAGUGAUGUAACGCUCUGCAGGCCUUUCCACUCAACCUGACCUGAAUCGAGGCUCCUUGCAA